rnacentral:rRNA from 1 species
GACGAACGCUGGCGGCGUGCUUAACACAUGCAAGUCGAGCGAUGAAGUUCCUUCGGGAACGGAUUAGCGGCGGACGGGUGAGUAACACGUGGGUAACCUGCCUCAUAGAGGGGAAUAGCCUUCCGAAAGGAAGAUUAAUACCGCAUAAGAUUGUAGUAUUGCAUGAUACAGCAAUUAAAGGAGCAAUCCGCUAUGAGAUGGACCCGCGUCGCAUUAGCUAGUUGGUGAGGUAACGGCUCACCAAGGCGACGAUGCGUAGCCGACCUGAGAGGGUGAUCGGCCACAUUGGGACUGAGACACGGCCCAGACUCCUACGGGAGGCAGCAGUGGGGAAUAUUGCACAAUGGGGGAAACCCUGAUGCAGCAACGCCGCGUGAGUGAUGACGGUCUUCGGAUUGUAAAACUCUGUCUUCAGGGACGAUAAUGACGGUACCUGAGGAGGAAGCCACGGCUAACUACGUGCCAGCCGCCGCCGUAAUAC